rnacentral:hammerhead_ribozyme from 1 species
AUCUAACUGACGAGUCCCACAUGGGACAAAACGUGAGUUCCUGGAU